rnacentral:rRNA from 1 species
GAUGAACGCUGGCGGCGUGCCUAAUACAUGCAAGUCGAGCGAACGGACGAGAAGCUUGCUUUUCUGAUGUUAGCGGCGGACGGGUGAGUAACACGUGGAUAACCUACCUAUAAGACUGGGAUAACUUCGGGAAACCGGAGCUAAUACCGGAUAAUAUUUUGAACCGCAUGGUUCAAAAGUGAAAGACGGUCUUGCUGUCACUUAUAGAUGGAUCCGCGCUGCAUUAGCUAGUUGGUAAGGUAACGGCUUACCAAGGAAACGAUGCAUAGCCGACCUGAGAGGGUGAUCGGCCACUCUGGAACUGAGACACGGUCCAGACUCCUACGGGAGGCAGCAGUAGGGAAUCUUCCGCAAUGGGCGAAAGCCUGACGGAGCAACGCCGCGUGAGUGAUGAAGGUCUUCGGAUCGUAAAACUCUGUUAUUAGGGAAGAACAUAUGUGUAAGUAACUGUGCACAUCUUGACGGUACCUAAUCAGAAAGCCACGGCUAACUACGUG